rnacentral:rRNA from 1 species
GUGCCAGCAGCCGCGGUAACACGUAGGGGGCGAGCGUUGUCCGGAUUUAUUGGGCGUAAAGAGCUCGUAGGCGGCUCGGUAAGUCAGGUGUGAAACCUCCAGGCUCAACCUGGAGACGCCACCUGAUACUGCCGUGGCUAGAGUCCGGUAGAGGAGCGUAGAAUUCCUGGUGUAGCGGUGAAAUGCGCAGAUAUCAGGAGGAAUACCAGCGGCGAAGGCGGCGCUCUGGGCCGGUACUGACGCUGAGGAGCGAAAGCGUGGGGAGCAAACAGGAUUAGAUACCCUUGUAGUCC